rnacentral:misc_RNA from 1 species
CUUAUUUGCCGUUACAAUCGCUCUCCAUCAUAUCACCGUCGUGUUUCUCUUCACCAGCCAACAACUCAACAGUGAAUCGUGUCAGCUGGUGCCUUACACAAGGACCAUGGGAGAGAAGCGAUGUGAGAAUGAGGACGUGUGCCGAUCUACGCUGAAUAAGAGGGAGAAACAGACAACCUGCGCCGUAUCACACCAUGUGCCAUAGACUUCGUGUUCUGUGGCGAUGAUUGGCAUGUGUUCGUGUAGUUGGCCACUCUUUGCCUUCACCGCUGCUGUUUUGUAUGCUCGUAGCCGGCCGCCAAGGCAAAGGAACGAGCACCGUGUGGGGCAUACGCAUUUUCGACGCCAUCCCUUUUCUCUUCCGAUCCCACAAACAUAGCCGCGGCGGUCCCUUUCCUUCACCGCCCAUUCCUUCUUUGCCAGAUGUCGUUUUUCUUCAAAGGUCGCGUAUUCCGUUGCUUGACUGAAUUCCUUUAUUUUUUUUCUCGUGUGUGCGCGAUCGCUUUUGCUGAUGUUUUCGUUGUUUCGUGGUUUUGAGCGCAUCAACACCGCCUGUGGCUAUCAUGAUUCCAGUACACAAUUACACGCCUUCUCUUUCUCCUUCUUAGCCGUGUUUGCUGGAUUCCUUUCAAGGAAAUCAAGGUAGCGCUCCCGAAGCGAUGUGUCUCUGCGGCGUUGCACGGGCGUCACGUGCAUACAGCGGCUUCGUCUUUGAUAGGGUGCAGGUAGAAAAACACACACACACAUAUAUAUAUAUAUAACCGGCCCUCCAUUGUCAACAAGGGCACGCACAAGUACGCCCACCACCACCACCCCUUCACGCACAUGAGGGAAAACGAGCCACUCUAUUCUUCCUCUUAAUCGUUUUCCGUGUCGCAUUCAUGCAUAUCCUUUAUUUUUGUUCCUCUCCCCUCCCCAUCCGGUCAUCCCCACAUUCGUCACACGUCCGUCCCAUGCGGAUAUCAUCUGUUGUUGUCUUUCAUGUGUAGACCACUACCUCCCACGGAUAGGCCUGAUAUGCUCCUGAUGGCCUUCUCGGAGGCGAGUGCAGACUACCCGGGAUCUGUGCCUCGUUCGUCUGCGGCGAUGUUUCAAGUUUUCCAGCGGAGUGAAGCAUGUCGCAGCCGAGCUUCUCCUUGUUCUCUCGAUAUCGUUCUUGGCAUGCGCCCGUUUUGUCUUGUGCAGUUCGUGUGUGUGUGUGUGUGUGCGCGCGCCCCUGAACACUCACGUUGGACAUUCUCGCCUUCGCAUAGCUCCCAAUAUCAAAAAAAAAAAGAAACGCGAGGGUGCUCUCUUUUUCUUCCUGUCUUCCCUCUCUUUGCGUGUGCACUGCGACGUGCGCUGCCUCCCAAGCCCCUGCUCCCCAUCCCGCAAUCGUGCAAGCAUCUGUGUCAUUGAUGGCGGGUGACGCGCUUCUCGCACCUGCUGCUUGUUAUUUUUGUUUUUGCUUUUUUUUUCGUGCGUGCAUGCGUGUUCUCCCUUCUGUUUUUGUUUGGUUUCCAUAAGGCUUUCGUCUUGUUUUUGUGUUGUUGCUGAUAAGGUCGCAACUUGGAUACCGAACGCACACGGAGAUGCAUGUGUACGAUGCGUGCCUGCCUCUCUCUUCCUCCCUCCUUCCCUGUAGCGCUGUAUGCCUUCUCCACAUCUCCUCCUCGUUUAUUUUUGAUCUGAGUGUGCUGCUUCUCUGAGCUUGCUCGGUGUACGUACGUUCUUUCUCGUGCGACCUUUCUGUUUUAUCCAUCCUUCUGGUAAUUCGCUAGUUGGCACUGCUCUCGCCUCCCCCUUCUCCCACGUCUGCUUUACUCACCGGGGCGCCGUUGCUUCCAUCUGGGGUCUUCUUCUGCCACCGUGCUGCAUUGUCCAACGCGGUGGCUGUGUACAGCUGAGUGGGAGAUGAGUUCUUUGCUGCUGUUGCUCGUAGUCGUCUGCCGUGGCGCUUUUCUGCUCUCCGUGAGUCAUCGUUGUAAUUUGUGAUGUUUUCGUUGGCGUCCUUUGCUGUUUUUUCAGUGUCUCUCGCUUGAUUCCGCCUUCUUCCUUUGCCUUCAUGAGCCUCUCUCCUCUUCGCCCUUCCCCCCCCCCGCAUGUCCGCGCCCUCACCGUGUCUCGCUCGCAUUUUUUGCGGUUGCUUGCGUGUCCUCCCUACCCACCCCCGACUCAUUCUCUAUCUGUUACCCUCCGUGCGAGGGUAUGGUCAGCUCACUUUUUUCUCUCUUCUGCAGCGUGUACGGCUCCUUUCCUACGUAUACGUAAGCGUAAAUGUGGGGCGCGUGCGUUCCACUCUCUGUACGCUCCCCCUGCGGUCUGCGUCAUCCAUGGAUUGAGGGCCUUUUCUAGCUUCGCCGACAUCUAUCGUGUUGUCGUCACAAUGCUCGUCUACGCUGGGGCGCGCGUGCCCCGCUGUGUGUGUUUUCAGCUCCUGUCCUCUUCUGCCGUCCUCUAGCGGGCACUUUUAGUGCGCUCCCUCAGCACACGCUGCGACCUGACGCCCGGCAAACGGCGUGAAACGAAUUCCGCCGAAUCCCAGUAUCCUCAUCAUGGACGCGUCUGCGCGCAAGGGCCCUGCUCGUGUGGGGAACGCCUCCAGCGGCGCGGCUUUACUCUUUGCACGCACCGUCACGAGCGCGUGCUGCUGAAGGCAGCAGAAGAACGGGCUGCCCUGUCUCUGAAUCGCUGAACGCGGCGCCAGCGUAAAGACGUGGUGCAGCUCACGUCGUGGUUUCUGGCUCUGCCCCUUUCAGAGAUGACGACACCUCCACGAGGCAUCUCACCGUUUGCCAGUUUCUCCUCAUGUCUGUAGUUGGUCUCCUCGUCCCCGUCUCUUCUUCCGACAAG